UACAGAGGGGGCAAGCGUUGUUCGGAAUUACUGGGCGUAAAGGGCGCGUAGGUGGCCUUCUAAGUUGAACGUGAAAUCCCUGGGCUCAACCCAGGAACUGCGUCCAAGACUGGGAGGCUUGAAUCCGGGAGAGGGAUGCGGAAUUCCAGGUGUAGCGGUGAAAUGCGUAGAUAUUCGCAAGAACACCAGUGGCGAAGGCGGCUCACUGGCCCGAUACUGACGCUGAGGCACGAAAGCGUGGGGAGCAAACAGG
rnacentral:rRNA from 1 species